rnacentral:rRNA from 1 species
UACAGAGGUCUCAAGCGUUUGUUCGGAUUCAUUGGGCGUAAAGGGUGCGUAGGUGGCGCGCUAAGUCAGGUGUGAAAUUUCGGAGCUUAACUCCGAAACUGCAUUUGAUACUGGCGUGCUUGAGGACUGGAGAGGAGACUGGAAUUCACGGGUGUAGCAGUGAAAUGCGCAGAUAUCAGGAGGAACACCGGUGGCGAAGGCGGUUCUCUGGGCAUGUUCUGACGGCUGGAGGAGCGGAAAGUGUGGGGAGCGAACAGG